rnacentral:rRNA from 1 species
GAUGAACGCUAGCGGCAGGCUUAACACAUGCAAGUCGAACGGUAACAGGAUGUAGCUUGCUACUUUGCUGACGAGUGGCGCACGGGUGCGUAACGCGUAUACAAUCUGCCUUUUACUGGGGAAUAGCCUUUAGAAAUGAAGAAUAAUACCCCAUAGUAUGUUGACUCGGCAUCGGGUUAACAUUAAAGUUUCGGCGGUAAAAGAUGAGUAUGCGUUCUAUUAGCUAGAUGGUGUGGUAACGGCAUACCAUGGCAACGAUAGAUAGGGGCCCUGAGAGGGGGAUCCCCCACACUGGUACUGAGACACGGACCAG